UACGUAGGUGGCAAGCGUUGUCCGGAAUUAUUGGGCGUAAAGCGCGCGCAGGCGGUCCUUUAAGUCUGAUGUGAAAGCCCACGGCUCAACCGUGGAGGGUCAUUGGAAACUGGGGGACUUGAGUGCAGGAGAGAAGAGUGGAAUUCCACGUGUAGCGGUGAAAUGCGUAGAUAUCGGGAGGAACACCAGUGGCGAAGGCGGUUGCCUGGAGCUUUGCUGACGCUGAUGCGCGAAAGCGUGGGGAGCGAUCCGG
rnacentral:rRNA from 1 species